rfam:Anolis carolinensis chromosome Tnknown cont2.30027, whole genome shotgun sequence.
CCUGGGAGGGGCUGACUUGGCCGGUGUGGUACAGAGAAGCCGGCUUGUUUACUUACCCGUCCCACG